AAGGAAAGAGGCAUUCAGCAAGGCUGUCCUUGCUUUCCACAAAUCUCACAGCAACUUGCCAUGAAAUUGUUCGGAAGAGGGGCCUGAGAGCUGAUCCACGGAGGCUUGAGAAGCAGCUUGUCUGUUGUUGCAGACUGAGCCCUCUGCUUUUGGGAACUUACCAGGAUGCUGAUAAAUGGCUGUCACCCCUUAUUGGACAUGAAUUCAUUGUACCUGUGUAAAUAAGGAUUUAAAAAUUGAAAAAAAAAUGUUUUGGUUCCUACAACAGAAUCACAGAACAGAAGAACAUUUACAGAACCACAGAAUAGCUCAGGUUGGAAGGCACUUCUGGAGAUCGUUCAGUCCACCCCGUCUG